rnacentral:rRNA from 1 species
UACGUAGGGGGCAAGCGUUGUCCGGAUUUAUUGGGCGUAAAGAGCGUGUAGGCGGCCUGACAGGUCAGCUGUGAAAACUCGAGGCUCAACCUCGAGACGUCGGUUGAAACCAUCUGGCUAGAGUCCGGAAGAGGAGUGUGGAAUUCCCGGUGUAGCGGUGAAAUGCGCAGAUAUCGGGAAGAACACCCGUGGCGAAGGCGGGUCUCUGGGCCGAUAUUGACGCUGAGGAGCGAAAGCGUGGGGAGCAAACAGG